rnacentral:rRNA from 1 species
UACAGAGGUCUCAAGCGUUGUUCGGAUUCAUUGGGCGUAAAGGGCGCGUAGGCGGAUUGUUAAGUCAGGGGUGAAAUCCUGGAGCUCAACUCCAGAACUGCCUUUGAUACUGGCGAUCUUGAGUCCGGGAGAGGUGAGUGGAACUGCGAGUGUAGAGGUGAAAUUCGUAGAUAUUCGCAAGAACACCAGUGGCGAAGGCGGCUCACUGGCCCGGUACUGACGCUGAGGUGCGAAAGCGUGGGGAGCAAACAGGG